CUGCCUUGGCAGGAACUAAUGGGGAUCCAUAAUAAACCCCAGGAAGAGUAGCUGCUGCCUUGGCAGGAACUAAUGGGGAUCCAUAAUAAACCCCAGGAAGAGUAGCUGCUGUCUUGACAGGAACUAAUGGGGAUCCAUAAUGUGUGUGUAUUGAUAAUGUGUGUGUAUUGAUAAUGUGUGUGUAUUGAUAAUGUGUGUGUAUUGAUAAUGUGUGUGUGUAUUGAUAAUGUGUGUGUGUAUUGAUAAUGUGUGUGUGUGUAUUGAUAAUGUGUGUGUGUAUUGAUAAUGUGUGUGUGUAUUGAUAAUGUGUGUGUGUAUUGAUAAUGUGUGUGUGUAUUGAUAAUGUGUGUGUGUAUUGAUAAUGUGUGUGUGUAUUGAUAAUGUGUGUGUGUAUUGAUAAUGUGUGUGUGUAUUGAUAAUGUGUGUGUGUAUUGAUAAUGUGUGUGUAUUGAUAAUGUGUGUGUUAGGUGAGCCCCGUCCCAUGCCACCGUCGAGGCCCUUUCUCCUGUAAGCGCGUCUGUGGUCGAACCCUGACCUGUGGUAACCACAGCUGCAGCAAGGACUGUCACCGUGUCACCGCGACAACCAACAAACUACAGGCGGGUCCAGAGUGUGUGGUGUGUGAGGAGGGGUGUGUUAACCCUCGCCCCCCUGGCUGUCCCCACCCGUGCCCGUUGCCAUGCCACCCGGGGUCGUGCCCCCCCUGCCAACAGAUGACCCGACAACGCUGUCACUGCAAGAUCUCCCUGCUCUACAUAGACUGCCUGACGUUCAGAAGUGCUGAAGAUGAGGCUAAAGUUGAUCUGGGGUCCUGUAAGAACCAAUGUCCUAAACAGGUAUGCUCUCUGUGUGGGUCUCUCUAAAGUCCCCUCUCUGCGUGGGUCUCUGUUAAAGUCCUCUCUCUGUGUGGGUCUCUCUAAAGUCCUCUCUCUGUGUGGGUCUCUCUAAAGUCCUCUCUCUGUGUGGGUCUCUGUUAAAGUCCUCUCUCUGUGUGGGUCUCUCUAAAGUCCCCUCUCUGUGUGGGUCUCUCUAAAGUCCCCUCUCUGUGUGGGUCUCUCUAAAGUCCCCUCUCUGUGUGGGUCUCUCUAAAGUCCUCUCUGUGUGGGUCUCUCUAAAGUCCUCUCUCUGCGUGGGUCUCUCUAAAGUCCUCUCUCUGUGUGGGUCUCUCUUAAGUCCUCUCUCUGUGGGUCUCUCUAAAGUCCUCUCUCUGUGUGGGUCUCUCUAAAGUCCUCUCUCUGUGUGGGUCUCUCUAAAGCCCUCUCUGUGUGUGUGUUGUGUAUUUCUGUGUGGGUAGUGUGACUGUUAACCCCAGUAUUUCUGGGUGGGUGGUGUGACUGUUAACCCCAGUAUUUCUGGGUGGGUAGUGUGACUGUUAACCCCAGUAUUUCUGGGUGGGUAGUGUGACUGUUAACCCAGCA